rnacentral:rRNA from 1 species
AAACUUUCAACAACGGAUCUCUUGGUUCUGGCAUCGAUGAAGAACGCAUCGAAAUGCGAUAAGUAAUGUGAAUUGCAGAAUUCAGUGAAUCAUCGAAUCUUUGAACGCACAUUGCGCCCUUUGGUAUUCCGAAGGGCAUGCCUGUUCGAGCGUCAUUA